GUGUGGGGACGUGGUUUGGUUGUGGCCUUGGCAAUGCUGGGGUAAGGGUUGGACUCGGUGUAAAAACUCCUUUCUGACUUGCAGACUCUACGAUUUCACGCUGAUCAUCCCCAUUUCAGAAGCUGAAAUCUGCUGGCUCUGCCCACCCCUCCCUGGCACUCGUAAUGUACAGUGCAUUACUAUACAGUAAUGCACAGUGCAUUACUUCCUGAUACCAAACGUUGAGCUUGGAACAUUUAGGUGAAAGAGGAUAAAAAGGAAUGUGACUGCAGAUCCUGCGUAGAUCCUCGUGCAAAUCCCACCAUGGGCAAGGUCUUGCUAGACACUGACGUGUUGUGAAAUCUGUGUCAGGUGAGGAUCAUGGACAGACCCUGAACGUGCACGAAGUGUGGGCAGCUCUGCCUGUUUGGCAUUUGAUUUGUUGAGCAUCUUGCAGGAACUCAGGAGAGAGUCGAGGACUAAAAACCAGAACAGACAGCUUUCUGGCCAUUUAAUGUAAGUUCCAUUUUAUUUGAAAGUGUUUGAUCAGAUUUAAAAGCAUUUAACAUUAGCUCUGUGCGAUGGCAUCAGCUGAAGAUGCUGCUGUCACUUUGGGGACAGCAGGAGGAAGCACAAUCCCUGCAAGGCAGGAGCUUGUUUUCAGCAGGAGGGACUUGGCUGAGGACAUCCCAGAUCUCACUGACUCAGUGCUUGGCUAAACACUUUUACCUCAUG